CGGUAUGCUUAACACAUGCAAGUUGAACGAACUUAAGGUAACUUAUGUUAGUAACGGACGGGUGAGUAACAUGUAAGAAUCUGCGCUUAGGUGGGGGAUAACAGUUGGAAACGCCUGCUAAUACCCCAUAUAGCUAUCAAGUGAAAGAAUUUUCGCCUAAGCAUGAGCUUGCAUCUGAUUAGUUAGUUGGUAAGGUAAAGGCUUACCAAGACUUUGAUCAGUAGCUGGUUUGAGAGGAUGAUCAGCCACACGGGGAUUGAGAACGGAACCGACUCUUACGGGAGGCAGCAGUGAGGAAUUUUCCGCAAUGGGUGAAAGCCUGACGGAGCAAUACCGCGUGGAGGAUGAAGGCCUUAGGGUUGUAAACUUCUUUUCUCAUCGAAGAAUAUAUGACGGUAUUUGAGGAAUAAGCACUGGCUAAUUUCGUGCCAGCAGCCGCGGUAAUACGAGAAGUGCAAGCGUUUUCCGAUGUUAUUGGGCGUAAAGAGUUUGUAGGUUGCCUUGUGUGUUUGACGUUAAAUGUUAGAGCUCAACUCUGGAAUCGCGUUGAAUACUACUAGGCUUGAGUAUGAUAGAGGCAAAGGGAAUUCCCAGUGUAGCGGUGAAAUGCGUAGAUAUUGGGAAGAACACCAACGGCGAAAGCACUUUGCUAGGUUAAUACUGACACUGAGAAACGAAAGCUAAGGUAGCAAAACGGAUUAGAUACCCGUGUAGUCUUAGCUGUAAACUAUGGAUACCAAGUGGUGCACUAGUACUGCUGAAGCUAACGCGUUAAGUAUCCCGCCUGGGGAGUACGCUUGCAAAAGUGAAACUCAAAGGAAUUGACGGGGGCCCGCACAAGCGGUGGAGCAUGUGGUUUAAUUCGAUGGUACACGAAGAACCUUACCAGGGUUUGACAUGCUAGGAAGCUUUCUGAAAGGAAGGCGUAUCUUCGGAAACCUAGACACAGGUGGUGCAUGGCUGUCGUCAGCUCGUGUUGUGAGAUGUUAGGUUAAGUCCGUCAACGAGCGCAACCCUCUUUUUUAGUUUUAUCUAAAAAUACUGCCGACUAUAAGUCGGAGGAAGGUGGGGAUAACGUCAAGUCCUCACGCCCCUUAUAUCCUGGGCUACACACGUGCUACAAUGGUUCAGACAACGAGUCGCAAGCUUGUGAAAGUGAGCAAAUCUCUUAAACUUAACCUUAGUUCGGAUUGUAGGCUGCAACUCGCCUACAUGAAGCUGGAAUCGCUAGUAAUCGCCGGUCAGCUAUACGGCGGUGAAUACGUUCUCGGGCCUUGUACACACCGCCCGUCACACCAUGGGAGCUGGUCAUGCCUAAUGUCGUUAUCUUAACCGUAAGGGGAGAAAUGCCUAAGGCCGGGUUGGUGACUGGGGUGAAGUCGUAACAAGGUA
rnacentral:rRNA from 1 species